rnacentral:lncRNA from 1 species
UAUCAAAUGGAAUCGAAUGGAAUCACCGAAUAGAAUCGAAUGGAACAAUCAUCGAAUGGACUCAAAUGGAAUUAUGCUCAAAUGGAAUCGAAUGGAAUUAUCGAAUGCAAUCGAAUGGAAUAAUCGAAUGCAAUCGAAUAGAAUCAUCGAAUGGACUCGAAUGGAAUCAUCGAAUGGAAUGGAAAGGAAUAGUCAAUGAACUCGAAUGGAAUCAUCAUUGAAUGGAAUCGAAUGGAAUCAUCGAGUGGAAUCAAAUGGAAUCAUGAUCAAAUGGAAUUGAAUGUAAUCAUCAUCAAAUGGAGUCAAAAAUAACCAUCAUCAAUUGGUAUUGAAUGGAAUUGUCAUCAAAUGGAAUUCAAAGGAAUCAUCAUCAAAUGGAAACGAAUGGAAUCCUCAUUGAAUGGAAAUGAAAGGAGUCAUCAUCUAAUGGAAUCGCAUGGAAUCAUCAUCAAAUGGAAUCGAAUGGAAUCAUCAUCAAAUGGAAUCUAACGGAAUCAUUGAACGGAAUUGAAUGGAAUCGUCAUCGAAUGAAUUGAAUGCAAUCAUCGAAUGGUCUCGAAUGGAAUCAUCUUCAAAUGGAAUGGAAUGGAGUCAUCGCAUAGAAUCGAAUGGAAUUAUCAUCGAAUGGACUCGAAUGGAAUCAACAUCAAACGGAAUCAAACGGAUUUAUAGAAUGGAAUCGAAGAGAAUCAUCAAAUGGGCUCGAACAGAAUCAUCUAAUGGAAUGGAAUGGAAUAAUCCACGGACUCGAAUGAAAUCAUCAUCGAAUGGAAUCGAAUGGAAUCAUCGAAUGUAAUCGAAUGGAAUCAUCAAAUGGACUCUAAUGGAAUAAUCAUUCUACGGAAUCGAAUGGAAUCAUCAUCAAAUGGAAUCUAAUGGAAUCAUUGAACGGAAUUGAAUGGAAUCAUCAUCGAAUGAAUUGAAUGCAAUCAUCGAAUGGUCUCGAAUGGAAUCAUCUUCAAAUGGAUUGGAAUGGAAUCAUCGCAUAGAAUUGAAUGGAAUUAUCAUCGAUUGGACUCGAAUGGAACCAACAUCAAACGGAAUCAAACGCAAAUAUCGAAUGGAAUCGAAAAGAAUCAUCGAAUGGACUCGAAUGGAAUCAGCUAAUGGAAUGGAAUUCAUUCGAUUCUAUGCGAUGAUUCCAUUCCUUUCCAUUAGAAGAUGACUCCAUUCGAGACCAUUCGAUGAUUGCAUUCAAUUCAUUCGAUGACGAUUCCAUUCAAUUCUGUUCAAUGAUUCCAUCAGAUUCCAUUUGAUGUUGAUUCCAUUCGAUUCCAUUUGAUGAUGAUUCCAUGCGGUUCCAUUAGAUGAUGACCCCUUUCAUUUCCAUUCAAUGAGGAUUCCAUUCGGUUCCAUUUGAUGAUUAUUCCUUUGAAUUCCAUUUGAUGACAAUUCCAUUCAAUACCAAUUGAUGAUGGUCAUUUUUGAUUCCAUUUGAUGAUGAUUACAUUCGAUUCCAUUUGAUCAUAAUUCCAUUCAAUUCCACUCGAUGAUUCCAUUCGAUUCCAUUCAAUGAUGAUUCCAUUCGAGUUCAUUGACUGUUCCAUUCCAUUCCAUUCGAUGAUUCCAUUCGAGUCCAUUCGAUGAUUCUAUUCGAUUGCAUUCGAUAAUUCCAUUCGAUUGCAUUCGAUAAUUCCAUUCGAUUCCAUUUGAGGAUAAUUCCAUUUGAGUCCAUUCGAUGAUUGUUCCAUUCGAUUCUAUUCGGUGAUUCCAUUCGAUUCCAUUUGAUAAUGAUUCCAAUCGAGACCAUUCGAUGAUUCCAUUCAAUUCCAUUCAAUAAUGACCCCUUUCGAGUCCAUUCAUGAUUCCAUUCCAGUCCAUUCGAUGAUUCCAUCUGAUUCCAUUCAAUGAAUCCAUUCGAUUCCAUUCUAUGACGAUUCCAUUCAUUUCCAUCUGAUGAUGAUUCCAUUCGAUUCCAUUCAAUGAUUCCAUUCGAUUCCAUUUGGUGAUGAUUUCAAUCAAUUUUAUUCGAUGAUUCCAU